rnacentral:tRNA from 1 species
UCCCUCAUAGCUAGUUGGUAAAGAAUCUGCCUGCAAUGCAGGAGACCCUGUUUCAAUUCCCGGUUCGGGAA